GAAAAGAAAGAUGUUAUAGAUUGGAUAAAUGCAAGCCUAAUUCAUAAGAGUUGGUAUAUUUUGGCCAGGAAUACACGUAAACCUAAAGGCUCAUGAGAGAAAUUGAGAAGCCUAUAAUAGGUGAUGAUCCAGUUGUAAGGCAAAUUCAACAUACUUUGGAAUAAAAAAAUCAUACUUUAGUGAGGAGUAAAUUAAUAGCAUAAACUCUCAAACAAGUAAAGACUUACCAAGAAGAGUCUUGGGCUAUGUAAUCUACCUUA
rnacentral:lncRNA from 1 species